UAUUGGUCAAUGGCCGAGAGGCCGAACCCGCCAAGUCCCGUGAGGGAAGAAUGUCCUAUGGAUUGUAAACCUCUUUUGUCAGGGAGCAAAGUCACCCACGUGUGGGUGUUGGAGAGUACCUGAAGACAAAGCAUCGGCUAACUCCGUGCUAGCGGCCGCGGUAAUACGGAGGAUGCGAGCGUUAUCCGGAUUUAUUGGGUUUAAAGGGUGCGUAGGCGGGUUAUCAAGUCAGCGGUAAAAUCGUGGAGCUCAACUCCAUCCAGCCGUUGAAACUGAUGAUCUUGAGUGGGCGAGAAGUAUGCGGAAUGCGUGGUGUAGCGGUGAAAUGCAUAGAUAUCACGAAGAACUCCGAUUGCGAAGGCAGCAUACCGGCGCCCGACUGACGCUGAAGCACGAAAGCGUGGGUAUCGAACAGG
rnacentral:rRNA from 1 species